rnacentral:rRNA from 1 species
GAUGAACGCUAGCGGCAGGCCUAACACAUGCAAGUCGAGGGGUAGAACACUUCGGUGUUUGAGACCGGCGCACGGGUGCGUAACGCGUAUGCAAUCUACCUUGUACAGGGGAAUAGCCCAGAGAAAUUUGGAUUAAUGCCCCAUAGUAUAUAACCUUCGCAUGUUGGUUAUAUUAAAGUUCCAACGGUACAAGAUGAGCAUGCGUCCCAUUAGUUAGUUGGUAAGGUAACGGCUUACCAAGACGAUGAUGGGUAGGGGUCCUGAGAGGGAGAUCCCCCACACUGGUACUGAGACACGGACCAGACUCCUACGGGAGGCAGCAGCGAGGAAUAUUGGUCAAUGGUCGGCAAGACUGAACCAGCCAUGCCGCUGCAGGAAGACGGUCCUAUGGAUUGUAAACUGCUUUUUAUACAGGAAGAAACCCCUCCCACGUGUGGGAGCUUGACGGUACUGUAGGAAUAAGGAUCGGCUAACUCCGUGCCAGCAGCCGCGGUAAUAGUC